GUAGAGAGACACCGGUAGCUUUAGGACGUUAAAAGCCAUAGAACCGUCGGACGGGCCGGUCGCUACAAGAAACAGAAAAUAGUAAGAGCAGCUCCCCAUUAACGGUUAGAACAAUAACGACAAGGCUGAAAGAUCCCGUUACGAGUGACCGAUCAAGUUUCAAUAGUUUUAAGCUAGCCAAAUUUUAGAAGCUGCUUUGUCUAUUAUCACUUUGUUAUAAUAUAACAGGACUUGAGAGUGGUGAAAGUGAUAACUCUGGAUUUUUAAACCCUGAGAGGUUGGGACUAAGUGCAGAAAGCGGUGGUGUUCGAGCUCACCUGCCGCCAGGACUUCUUCUCCGUCACUUCCACACCCGAAGACCGGGAACACCGGAAUUUUUUGUGGAUUUUUUUUAUUUAUUUAUUUUUUUGUAAAAACACAAGCCGAAUCUAUAGUAUUACACACCGAGGAAAGAGGAGGAGGAUAAACACAAACACACACACAGCACAGGCACAAAGAGCGGGGAGCAUCCAGAGAGGGGAAGAAGGCGGACCGCACGGAGAGAUAGAGCGCGGUGUGAGGACAACAACCCGACUGAGCAUCCCUCUUUAAUUUCUGAUCUGCUCGGGAAACACUCUGCACGGCCGUACAGUACAAACGGGGAUCCUGAACGCCGUUUAUCCACGGAAAGACUCCUCCAGCAUCAGUCGCUCCUCUCCAGGGAUAGCUGCUCCCGAUCUGUUUGCCCCUGAGCCCUGCAGUACCCAGUCGUCCUCUCCACUUUGUCCCGAUGAAGGAGGCUGAUGCCAUCAAGUUGUUUGUGGGGCAGAUUCCCCGUAAUCUGGAGGAGAAGGACCUCAAGCCUAUCUUUGAGCAGUUCGGCAAGAUCUAUGAGCUAACUGUGAUUAAGGACAAAUACACUGGCAUGCACAAAGGAUGUGCGUUUCUGACGUACUGUGCGAGAGAGUCUGCGCUGAAAGCCCAGAGCGCUCUUCAUGAGCAGAAAACACUACCAGGGAUGAAUCGGCCAAUCCAGGUGAAACCAGCUGACAGCGAGGGCAGAGGCGAGGACAGGAAGUUAUUUGUGGGCAUGCUGGGAAAGCAGCAAAGCGAUGAGGACGUCAGAAGGCUGUUUGAGCCCUUUGGCAGCAUAGAUGAGUGUACUGUCUUGAGAGGUCCUGAUGGCACCAGCAAAGGGUGCGCGUUUGUGAAAUUCCAAGGACAUGCCGAAGCCCAAGCUGCCAUCAACAGCUUGCACGGGAGCCGCACAAUGCCUGGGGCGUCGUCCAGUCUGGUGGUGAAGUUCGCAGACACAGAGAAGGAGCGGGGGCUGAGGAGGAUGCAGCAGGUGGCCUCCCAACUCGGCAUCUUCAGCCCCAUGACCCUCAAUUUCCCCGCCUACAAUGCCUACACGCAGGCGGUCAACGCACAGCUUGUCCAACAGCAGGCCCUGGUUGCCCAGUCAGCGUACUUGUCUCCUGUGGCAACAGUUGCCGCCGUACAGAUGCAGCAGAUGGCAGCACUCAAUGCCAAUGGAAUCAUUGCCACACCCAUUACACCCAUCACACCAUCCUCGGGUACAAACACCCCCCCAACUAUUGCAGCAACACCUGUGCCAGCGCUUCCUCCACCGAUAGGAGUGAAUGGUUACAGCAGCGUGCCAGCUCCCUCCAAUGGGCAACAAACAGAAACACUAUACACCAAUGGCGUUCACCCAUAUCAAGCUCAGAGUCCAGCAGCAGCCUUGGACCCACUACAGCAGGCCUACGCAGGCAUGCAGCACUACACAGCGGCGUACCCUGCUGCGUACGGAUUGGUCGGGCAGCCGUUCCCCCAGCAGCCAACACUUGUUGCCCAGCAACACCAGCAGCCCCAGCAACAGCAGCAGAGAGAAGGUCCAGAGGGGUGUAACAUCUUCAUCUACCACCUGCCUCAGGAGUUCAGUGACUCUGAGAUGCUGCAGAUGUUCCUGCCUUUUGGCAAUGUCAUCUCAGCCAAGGUGUUUGUGGACCGUGCCACCAACCAGAGCAAAUGCUUCGGAUUUGUGAGUUUUGACAACCCAGCCAGCGCUCAGGCCGCCAUCCAGGCCAUGAAUGGCUUCCAGAUUGGCAUGAAGAGACUGAAAGUGCAGCUCAAAAGGCCGAAAGAUGCCAACCGCCCAUACUAAGUGACUACUGAGAGGAUGAAGAACAAGUGAAGAGAGAUCCUUCCGUCCAAUCAUAAUUCACGAGGACCCCAUCGCUAUGGCAAUGGUUGCCUAGUGACCGAUAAAGCCCCGACCCCCCCUUCCUCUCACAUUGUUGUGACCUUUCAGAGUCCAGCCGAGGAGGAAUCCCAGGGUUCAUUGUGCUUUCAGACUGUCUGCUGCCUGUGAGCGUACGCGGACUGCAGCCACACUCACGCAAACACACAAACAUACAUCAACACCGAACCUCAUAGGGUUCGUGGCUGAUAUGUACAUAAAAUGCACAAACACACACACACACUUGCUGACACUUACACAAAUACACACGCGAGUCAGUAAUCUCACCCAUACGGCCGAGACCUUGGUUUGACCGUAGUCUGUGUGGAACAGGGUGUUUAGUACAGCUAAGACAACUCAGACCAAGUGAGAAGGGUGAAAUCAACCUGCUGAUAUAUCACUCCAAUAGACUUUAACUUGUCUAUACCAUGUCUAAUACAUGACAAAUAUAGAGGGACCGAUGUUUCAUAAUAAAAACCCAAGAAAAUACAAAAAAGACGACUAAAUGAGUAGGUUAGAGAGACUUUGGAGAAGAUCCUAAUGACCUGUAAAUAGUUUAGUUUACAAAGAGCAGCAUUUAAAAAACAAGAAAAAUGCAAAAAGAAUACUACUUUAGAUAAACACUGAGCAGGACACAGCAACAUUAUUAUUAUUAUUAUUAUUAUUAUCAUUAUUAUUAUUAUUACCACUAGUAACAUCAUCAUCUUCAUGAAAGGAAAAUACAUUCCAAAUUGUAAAAUGGGAAAUCACUAACCUAUUUUAAAUUUCUACUUAGACUUUAGGUGAAACACGGGGGAGGGAGGGAUUGCACUUUUAUUCGGGAGGUUUUAAUAUUUGAGCUAUUUUUUAUUUAUUUACUAAUUUAUCAAUUAUUUUGUUUAUUGGGAGAAAAGGGGGUUUGAGUGGGUUGCAAUAUUUUGAUUUAGGAUUUUCUAGAGGAAAAAAAACAACUUUUGAGGGUCUGUCUCUCUCACUUCUUGCAAUCGAGUAAUUAUAAUGUAUGUAUUAAUUAUUACAGCAAUUAUAUUUAUUUCUAAUUUAUUGAAUCCUGUUUUUGAUCCACUCUCUUUUUAAGUUUAAAUAAAAAGUAUCAUACUAAAA